CUAUGAGAUCACUAACAGGAAUCACUAUUCUCCUAACUUUAGGUAUUAUGAGCGAUGCUAAGACCACACCGACAAAUGCAAUGGAGAGUACUGAAGAAAAACCUGUCCACCUGCCUUGUAACCACUCCACAAUCAGUGGAAAUGAGUACAUAUACUGGUAUCGACAGAUUCCCAACCAGGGUCCGGAGUACAUGAUUCAUGGUCUAAAAGGCAAUGUGACUAAUGGAAUGGCCACUCUGAUCAUCACAACAGCUAGAGAGUCCAGUACCUUGAUUCUGCCCCGGGUUACCCUGGGAGAUACUGCUGUGUACUACUGCAUGGUGAGAGACGCACCCUGGGACAGAUGGCGCUGCCCCCGUACAAGAUCUGCCUGGUGGGGGAAGGGAAGCAGCACCUGCCAACUCCAGAGGCCACUGCACAAGAAUGAGCAGGAGCCCAUAGAAGAGAAGUAA